GUUCAAUUAUCAAAAGAUGGAGUUCCUUUCUGUAUGGAUAUGGCAGAUCUUUUGACAGGUACAACUGUUGUCACUUCUUUCUCAGCUCGAACUACAACUAUCCCCGAAGUUCAAUCUGAAGCUGGAAUCUUCUCUUUUGAUCUUACUUGGGCGGAGAUUUUGACUCUCAAACGUAAGCCUUUUUUCUGCUUCUUUAAAUUCUCUUCUAAAACUUUUUAGACUUUUGCUUCUCCUUUAAUUCUGUCUCUGUCUCUG
rnacentral:misc_RNA from 1 species